rnacentral:rRNA from 1 species
UACGUAGGGCGCGAGCGUUAUCCGGAAUCAUUGGGCGUAAAGAGCUCGUAGGCGGUUCAGCAAGUCGGCUGUGAAAGUCCGAGGCUCAACCUCGGAACUGCAGUCGAUACUGCUGUGACUCGAGUCCGGUGGAGGAGAACGGAAUUCCCGGUGUAGCGGUGAAAUGCGCAGAUAUCGGGAGGAACGCCAGUAGCGAAGGCGGUUCUCUGGGCCGGCACUGACGCUGAGGAGCGAAAGGGUGGGGAGCGAACAGG